rnacentral:rRNA from 1 species
GAUGAACGCUGGCGGCGUGCUUAACACAUGCAAGUCGAACGGAAAGGCCCAAGCUUGCUUGGGUCCUCGAGUGGCGAACGGGUUAUUAACACUUGGUUUUUCUCCCCUGCACUUCGGGAUAAGCCUGGGAAACUGGGUCUUAUACUGGAUAGGACCCCUUGUUCGAUUGUUUGGUGUACAGCUUUUCGGUGUGGGAUGAGCUAGCGGCCUAUCAUCGUUUUGGUGGCGUAAUGGCCUACCAAGGCGUCGGCGGGUAUCUGGCCUGAGAGGGGGUACGGCUAAAGUGGGAGAGAGAUACGGGCCAGAGUACUACGGGAGGCAGGAGGGGGGAAUAUUGCACGAUGGGCGCAAGCCGGAUGCAGCGACGCCGCGUGGGGGAUGACGGACUUCGGGUUGUAAACUACUUUAGCGAGGGAGGAAGCGAAAGUGACGGUACCUGGAGAAGAAGCACCGGCUAACUACGUG